UGGAUGUUUUUUUUCUCUUGCCGAAACGACACCGUUUAUUUCUCACAUUUAAUUCCUCUCAAGCUCUCAAGCCGAACGAAUCCUCUCUUCAGCUCUCUGUCUCGUCUCGUCUCGUCUCUCAAGUUCUCAUCCAAAACCUUAGCCGUGCUGAUUGCGAAUCUAUCUAUCUUUGUCUCUGUUUGUAUGCUAAUCGAAACCAAUGAGCUAUGUAUUGGCACAUAUCUAAAGGAUCAUGGACAUUCUCAAUGGAGGACUAAGGCUGGCAAGUCUCUGAUGUCACAGGAGAGGGGUUGAAGUUAAUGCUUCAAUUCUGUCAUGAUACAUGUAUAUACUAAAAUCCCACAUUCUCAAGGUUUGUUCCAAAGAGUAGCAAUGGUGGUUUCCCAGCAUGGGAGCCUGGGAGAGCAUCCCCAUGGAUGCAGGUAACUUCAACAAUUAUAAUUAACUCUACAUAACUCGUUUCAAGAUUUCUGUUGAAAUUGAUGCUGUUGGCAGCUUAUGGAAACUCAAUCCAGCAAAAAAUUUUCCAAAAUGGUCAUCACCAGAUCAAUGUGAAAGAAAUCAAUUUUUUCCCCAAUUCAAGAUUGAAGAUGUGAAGAGUAUUAAUUUGUAUUAGUUUAAUUAGUUGUGAUGUAUUAUUAAUUAUUUUGUUCUUUGUAAAUUUAUGUUUUGUUUUGUGAUGUAACAACAAUAUUAUCUAGUUUGCAUUUUUUUUUAUUUUGUUCU